rnacentral:rRNA from 1 species
CACGUAGGGGGCGAGCGUUGUCCGGAAUCAUUGGGCGUAAAGAGCUCGUAGGCGGCUCGGUAAGUCGGGUGUGAAACCCCCCAGGCUCAACCUGGGGACGCCACCCGAUACUGCUGUGGCUAGAGUCCAGUAGGGGAGUGUGGAAUUCCCGGUGUAGCGGUGAAAUGCGCAGAUAUCGAGAGGAACACCUGCGGCGAAGGCGGGUUGCUGGGCUGAUACUGACGCUGAGGCGCGAAAGCCAGGGGAGCGAACGGGG